rnacentral:rRNA from 1 species
CAAUAGCGUAUAUUUAAGUUGUUGCAGUUAAAAAGCUCGUAGUUGGACUUUGGGUUGGGUCGGCCGGUCCGCCUUUGGUGUGCACCGGUCGUCUCGUCCCUUUUGCCGGCGACGCGCUCCUGGUCUUAAUUGGCCGGGUCGUGCCUUCGGCGUUGUUACUUUGAAGAAAUUAGAGUGCUCAAAGCAAGCCCAAGCUCUGCAUACAUUAGCAUGGGAUAACAUCACAGGAUUUCGGUCCUAUUGUGUUGGCCUUCGGGAUCGGAGUAAUGAUUAAGAGGGACAGUCGUGGGCAUUCGUAUUUCAUAGUCAGAGGUGAAAUUCUUGGAUUUAUGAAGGACGAACAACUGCGAAAGCAUUUGCCAAGGAUGUUUUCAUUAA